UAGAAAAUUUUUAUUAUAAUAAAUUUUAUUUUUAAGUUAAUUUAAUAAAAUUAAUUUUAUAAUUAAUUAUUUUAGUAUAUUUUAUAGAAGAAAUAUUUUAAUUGAUAGUAUAUAGUAUAGUAAUAGAAAAUAAUUUUUUAUUUAUAAAGUAAAUUUAUUUUAUUGUACCUUUUGUAUCAGGGUUUAUUUAAAAUUUUUUAAUUAUUUAAUAUUCUCGAUUUAAAGAGAGUUAAAAUUUUAUUAUUUUUAUUGUUAUAUAAAUAUUUUUAAUAAAAUUUUAGUAAUGAAAUGUUAUUCGUUCUUUAAGAUAUCUAGUUUUUUAAGAAAUAAAUUUAAUUUAGUUUUAAAUUUAUAUAAAUUUAAUUAUUAAAUAUUAUAUAAUUUAACUAUAAAAUUUUUAGGGAUAAGCUUAAAAAUUAAAUUUAUAAAUAUAGAAGUUAUUAUAAAUAAAAUAGGAUUAGAAAUUUUCAAUUAUAAUUAAAAUGUUAUAAUUAAUUAAUUUUAUGAUAUAAUUUUUAUAAUUUUAAUUUAUUUAUUAAAAUAUUAUAUUUAAUUAGUAAUAUAAGGAAUAAUGAUAAAAUUAGUAUUAAUUUAUUUAUAAGUAUAAAUUUAAUUUAGAUAAAAGUAAGGAAUUCAGCAAAAAAUAUACUCACCUGUUUAUCAAAAACAUGUCUUUAUGAAAAUAAUAUAAAGUCUAACCUGCCCACUGAAAUUAUUUUUAAAGGGCCGCGGUAUUUUGACUGUGCAAAGGUAGCAUAAUCAUUUGUCUUUUAAUUGAAGGCUGGAAUGAAUGGUUGAAUGAAGUAUUAACUGUCUCAUUUUUAUAAAUUUAAAAAUUUAAUUUUUUAGUUAAAAAGCUAAAAUUUUAUUGGAGGACGAGAAGACCCUAUAAAUCUUUAUUUAAUAUUAUUAUAUUAAUUUUUAGGUAAUAAUUAUUUAUUAUAUUAAAUUAAAUUUUAUUGGGGUGAUAGGAAAAUUUAAUUAACUUUUUUUAUUUAAGAUAUUUAUUUAUAAAUUUUUGAUCCAUUAUUAAUGAUUAUAAGAUUAAGAUACUUUAGGGAUAACAGCGUAAUUUUUUUAGAGAGUUCUUAUCGAUAAAAAAGAUUGCGACCUCGAUGUUGAAUUAAAGAUUAAUAUUAAAUGUAGAAGUUUAAAUAUUAGGUCUGUUCGACCUUUGAAUCUUUACAUGAUUUGAGUUCAAACCGGUGUGAGCCAGGUUGGUUUCUAUCCUCAAUUUAAUAAAAUAUUUUAGUACGAAAGGACCAAAUAUUUAAAAUAAUUUUUUAAAUAUGAAUAAUAAUAAUUAUUA
rnacentral:rRNA from 1 species